rnacentral:lncRNA from 1 species
UAGAUGCUUUGUUUCUUCACCAGGCGUUGGUGGUAUGACGCGCUAUGUGUGUAUGAUAUACCUGUUCCAGACAAAGCGUACAAAGUGGGAAUACACGUGUAGUAACAGAUGUCGCUCAUAGCUCAUUCUUCCCAUAUAUACGGUCUACUUUCAAAAAUUCAUAUGCAGUAGCGAAGAGAGCUACUUGCGUGUGAAAUUUUCAUACGCGUUUUCAAUUGUGCGAAUAUCGUUGUUGCCAUUAUCUCACGCGAUGUGUUUAUUAACGGUAAAACUUAUUUUUAAAAAUAGGUACUAAUCUUAUUUUCAUACCAAAGAUAAAAGGAAAAGAAAUUGUAUAAAGAUGAACCGUGGAACCGUUUAUUAACAUUCUCGAUCUCUUUCGAAGCGUGUUAUUCGGCAGAAUGAUAAGAUAAUCGAUCGUAUACUUUUGAUACUGAAUUGAAAAAAAAAAAAAAAAAACAUUGAUAUUAAAAUUUCGAAACAUUCAGUAGUCAUUAGAUGAAACAAAGGAAUCGUUUAAUAUCUUGUUUAUGAAAAAUUUGACGUAAGUAAUAUUGUAAAGGUUAAAAUGACAGGGUUAAUUGUUAAAUUAGUCCUUUUGGAAAAUAUAAUAGAUAAUUAAUUGAUAUCAUUAUGUGACGCGAAGUCAUUGAAUAUCUUAUCAAUUUUUUUCUAAAAAUAUGAAAAUUCUCUCUAAAUAAUCUCAAUUUCGUGUUUUCGUCCGAUUAAAUAUAAAUCUGACGAGCUAAUUAUUAUAUUAAUUAACCGAAUAAAAGUUCUUCUCAAACUUUCAAUUCGAUGUAAAUAAAGGAAUAACAGAUCAGAAUCAACGACAUUCAAUGAAUAGAGCUCUGAAUAUCACGUUUAUCGCAUAAUUUUCCCAUGGGAAAUUUAUUCGGUGCGGAAGGUAACGAGGUUACAGGAGAAAUUUUGUUAAGGUUCGUGUUCUUCUUCCCAUCGAUAAUUUCACGUUUGCGCGACCAACCUGUCCAUUUUUAACUUAAUCAUAACUCGAUCGGUGACAUUAAACCUCUCGAACGUUGAAGCGAUCACGUACUUAAAAUAAAAAAGCAAAAUAUCCUCGUCGGAAAUAUCUACUUUUUGAUACGACGAGGUAAUUAAAUAUUAAUCAAUUAUCUAUCUUUAGAUUUUUACAACAAAGCGAAUUACAAAAUCGAUCGAUUGAAUGCCAAUAAUAAUAAUAAUAAUAAUACAAUCUUCGUUUAUCUUAAUUAAUUGAAAUUAUCAGUUGAAACUGAUCGUUUGGUAACUCUUUCGUUAAUGUUCAAUUUAUAUUGACCACCAUUCAAAAUGGUACCGAAUGAACUAGCCUGUCAGAAUCGUAAAUUGAAACGAUCGUAAAGAUUCAUGAAGCGUCGUUAAAUAACACUUAUGUUAAUGAUCGCGCGCACACACGCAUCUACGUAUACACAACACGCACGAAAUGGUUCCAAUCUAGUAGAAAUGUGACGAUUGUCGUAAUAAAAGCACGCGGAGUACAUGGCUGACGGCCAAUGGUACAAAAAUUCUUGCCGAUUCUAAUUUCAUCCCGGUAUCUCCGCGUAAAAUCGUUCACAUUCGAUUUAUUUAUUGUUCUCUUGAUUCUAUUCAAUAAGGAGUUGCGGCCAUCUUCGAGUGAACUUCAUUCAACGAAGCCAACGCAUACCAUCAUCGAGGAAUCAAAAAAAUAUAAUGGAAGGUAUUCUAUCCACGCGGAUAGCUGAGAAAUCUCAAGCACAAGUCUCCACACGGGAGAAGCGGCAUGCACGCGAUUGCCCGGUGUAUCGCGUAUGUGUACGUCCGUGUAUUUCCCCCCAACAAGAGAGAGAGAGAACAAUGACUCUAAAGACGUCGCACGUUUUCUUCGCAACAAGUUUUACAUUACACUCGGUGGCGGCGGGACUGGGCGACAAGCAACGGAGUGUUCUUGCUUAGCAUGCAGAUAACUUCUCCGUGCAGUAAGGUGCAUAGUCGUUUUAUAAAUAAUUCGCGCGGAUGUCUAAAAGAGCCAAGAUUGUUGAAUCACAGGCAAGAUAGCAUGCACACGCAACGGGAGUAAUUAUAUACAAUAUAACGGUUCCAUGCAUAAGAAAUUUGCAGAAAGAAACGAACCACCGAUAAGGAGGAACAAGUUGCAAAGAAUAUUUUUCUGAAUUAUGUCAGAUAAUAUAGAUCACAAAUUCAUUUUUUAAAAAUAAAAAAAAAACUUUUCUUGUUUGUAUACUAAAUCUUAUGAAAAUUUAAUCAAUAAAUGUUUAUAUAUAUAUAUAUGUAUGAAAUAUUCAAGCGAAGAAAUCUAAAUCUUCUUAAUUGAUAACAAAAAGAAGAAAACAUUCGAAUUUGUAAAUACUAUGAAUUGCGUAAUGUAUACUAGUAGAUAACGUUGAAUAUAUGCGUUGAAUAUAUAAGAACGAGUGAAUCAUACUUUUAAGUAAAUCUCUGAAUAACAAUAAUGAUAAUAAGUUAGUUUUUUUUUUUUGCUGCGAAGAUUUUCAUUAUAUUUGAUGAAAACUGGUAAUAGAAUAUUGUAAUAGUGGGAAAUCUAAUGUAAAUCUUGAAUUCUUGCGUUUUAUUUGAAAUAUAUUACAAAAAAAAAAAAAAAAGUUAUCAAAUCGAUAAUCAAGUCAAUCAAAGUCAAUAGCUUUUUUUCUCAUUAAAGUUCGUUUGGUGCUUUCUUCCAUCCUUAUUCCAUCUACAGCUUUUUUUCCUUGCGUGCAUGUAUGUAUGUAUUCCAAGCUCGAAUAAACAUAUAGAAACAUACAUAUGUGUUGCCUAUUCGCAGUAUAUUUACGUAUAUGUACGGCUUCGAUUAUUGGUUCGUCAACUGCAAGUGAAAUCAAACAAAAACAUUCGCUUGAUGAUGCGCAAAGCGAGAGCGAUGCACAGAUUGAAAAUAUUUUUUUUUUCAUUCUUGUUAUAAUUAUGGAUAAUAAAUAUAAAAUAUAUAUAUAUAUAUUAAAAAUUGAAAUAAUUAUAAAGUUUGAACUCGAUUUAUUGAUAUAAAAAUGAUGCAUUUCAAUUGUUGUAUUCAUUUGUUGUAUGUAAAUGUAAUAAAAUGUAAAUGUCCAUCUAUUAUAAUGAACACAUUCGAUUUGAAACAUUUAAUUAUUUUGAUUAAUUAUUAUGGAUCAGUGAACGAACUUUAUAUUUAUUUAUUCUUAUUCCGCGCAAUGAUUAUUGGACAAGCAAAUCAAUGGCGCAUGACAAAAACUUCGAAUAGCCUGGGAUAUAUGUUCUAGAUAAAGAAUAUAAUCCAAUCUAUAGCGAAGCAUCACAUGGGAUCGUUGCGUGAAAUCAGCAGAAAAAAAAAACAGUAACGUGAUUUAAUCUAUUCUGAUCGAUUUUAAAAAAAAAAAAAAAAA